UAUCUUUGCCCUGCCUAUUAAUUUCUUGCAUAUUUACAUUAUCUUGAAUAUGUUGUAUUGUUCUAAUUUUUUUUUUGGGUUCAUGUGGGUGAAUAUGUUUCCUUUUAUUGCUUGUGAAAUUUUUACUUGUGAGGUUGAUAUAAUUCUCAAAGCUUUGGUUGAUGAUGAAGAGCUAAUGAACUUGCUAUUCUCAUUUUUGGAACCUGUGCGUCCUCACAGUGCUCUGCUGGCUGGUUACUUCAGCAACAUUAAACCUGCUUGGAUAAAAGGGAAAAUCAGCUUUAAGCAUCGGAUAAAAAACACAUUGUACAUUGGAUGUAGUCAUUGUAUGAAAAAGGUUUACGCGGAAAGUGAAACAAUUUAAUUGCAUGCAUUGUGGUGAAUUGAAUGCAGUGGGAACACCACGGUGUAAACUGGAUGUGGAAAUUACUGAUGGAAGUGGAUGCCUUGUUGCAUCUGUGUUUAGGAAAUGUGUUGAACAACUAUUACUCUUUACGAGCAAACAAGUUAUGCAAUUGGA